CGCGUCACUUCCCGCUUCCUUCCUUUCACCUUUUUCGGGGUUUAGCCUGUGGAAAGCCGCGCUGCUCUGGUACCGAGUGGUUUUCGGUGGGUUUUUAAUUUUUGUUUUGUUUUCUCAGUCUCACAGGAGCCUGCCGAGGCUUGUUUCUGGAACCCCCUGUCGUGGGUAUCGCCCCCAAAUGGAGGUCCCAGGACUGCGGUUCGCGGAGCUGACCUGUGUGCCUGCCCUCAUGGGGCCUUUUCGUCCUUGGCAAGCCUGGUCUACUAUUUCAAUGCUGGUUUGAAAGAAAAUCCGUCUUGAUCCCAUGGCUUCGCAAACGGAGAACAAUCCCUAUAGGGGGCGGUAGCAGGUGCAGUCCCUGUCGUUGUUGAGUGUGCUUAAUGUCGGGCUCUUGAUGUUCGCUUGAUAGGGAGCAUCCUCACCUUACAGGUUGACACGCAACACUAGUUUGCUAAGACAAAACAGCCGGUAAGUUCUAGAAGCAGCAGUUGUUAGCCAAGAGACACUCCAGUGCUCCUAUUUUAAAUGCAACAUUUCUUUCUCUGUAGCAUUAUUACUAACUGAACUAAACCUUUCUCUCCAACAUUGCUCAAAAUGUAUUCUUCCACUUUAUUUUUGCGAAUAUAAGCAUCGAGUUUUGUGCUGCUCUCUGAGCAUACAAGAACUGGUAAGCAUCGUCCUUAUUGCUUGUACUUCUCAGGUGGGUUUUUUUGGUUUUGCAUGCUUGCAUUUGCCACCACACUUUCUCCGGCCAGGAGUAAUUGAGUUGGGGGAAAGCAAUCUUUUUCAUUUCUCUGCCUUUAAAUAUGUAGUUUGCCCUCAAUAAACUACUCUGUCUUCAUUUAUAUUCUCUGAACAAAUUUGGAAAAACCCUAACAAUAUACCUUCUCUCGAGGUAAAUUGAUCUUUUUUGAACAUAGCCUUUUAAGUAUCAACUGACGCUUGCAUUCCGUACUUUGUAUGCGUUUUCUUAUCACUAAAACCUUGUUGGCAGUAUUUAUGUUUUCAUUCUGUGUAUUUUGAAAAACAUGGAAGCUGAUUGUUUGGGGAAAUACAGUAAGUAGGAAGUGCUUGCAUGACAAUUCCUACCUCAUUUUUUUUUUUUUUUUUUUUUUUUUUUUGCACACAUUCCCCUCCUCAAAACCUGAUUUCCCACAGCUUUUAUUGGAUCACAUCACACAUUAUAGUCAUCUUGGUUCUCACCCCCUCAUAAGGAAGUGAAACUUCUAGACAGUAAGCAUUCUGUCUUCGGCACUGGUUCCCAAAAUCUAGAAUAUUUACUUCUCAGGAAGGGCUGCUCAGUAGCUAUUUUGUUGUGGAGUUCAUAGAUUGAUCUGAUCAUUAGAUUAGUGAGCUGACACACUGAAGACAAUGGGUUUUGGGGGGGGGGUGUUACUGGUUGAAGGGGUUAUGAGAUAUGGGAUUAGUCAUUUCAGUCUGAAUUUUUUUUCUGAAUUGGGACAACUGAGACCUUUUGUGGGACAAGUAUUUACUAAAUGACAUGUGUGAACCAGUGCCUAUCAUAACUGAUUUGCAAGUAAUUUCAAAGCUAAUCUAUAUUAUGUUUAUUUCUUACAGAUGAAGAACAGUUCACAUUUGAUCAGGAUGACAUUAGUGGGAGUUUGGGAUCUGGAACCUACUUAUGUCUAACUCCAGAUUAACACAGUGCUGAUAGCUACUUCAAAUAGUAAAGGCUCUGCUUCUCGGUUAUGCUAUAUCAAAUAGAUAAGCCUACACAAUGGACACCUCAAAUCUGAGAAAGAAAAGGAAGGAAAGCAGUAUUAGACAGAAGGGGAACAUGUUCUAUACAGGUCUUUUAAAACAUCAAAAAUUAAUUAUUUUACAUAGCCUACACUAAUUUGGAAAUUUGACUUGAAUAAUGUAGGAAAAUACAGAUACUAAAAACUGGCUCAAGAAAUAUAAAAUUAUAAAAGAAUAUACCAAAGAAAUCUACCCUUGACAAAUACUACCAGAGAAAAAGCAGGACAGAAUACUUGCCAAAUAUUAAGCUAACAUAACCAUAAUUCAAAAUUGUGAUGAAUUUAAAAUUCAUUACCUAUGAACCAAUAACUAUAUAUAAAGUCUUCUAAAUACCUUGCUCAGAUACUACAGCCAUUGUAAUACUUUACAGUUAGAGUAAAUGCACCCAUAUAAGAAUGGCUAGGUUUUACUACAUUUAUACGAUGGUGCACAGAGACAAGAUGGCUCAGCCUGUAAAAAGUGAUUGAUGACCUGAAUUGAAUGCCUGAAAACCCACAUAAUGGUGGGAGCAAGCUGACUACUACAAGUUGUCCACUGACCCUUGCACACAUAUGCCACAUACGCACCCAUUCUCAAAUGAGGUGCACACACACACUAAAAGGUGAAAAAUAUAGAAAAUUGUGGUAGAUAUGCAGUCUACAGGCAUUCAUGUGGUUAUAAUGCAUAGGCAUUGAAGAAACCAGAGAAAAUGCAUGUAUUCAUUUUAAAAAAUUGCUCAAGAGAAUUUCAAGUUUGGAAAUAACCUAUACCAAAUUAGUUGAUUAUAUUGUAGAGCACAAAAAGAGACAUAGAAGGAGAUUUAUAAUUAAAGUUUUUAGUAUAAAGAUUAUAGAAGCAAAUAAAAACAUGAGCUAUCAUGUAAAACAGAAGAUAGUUUGGAAAGUAAUGGUCCAUGAUUAAGAAGCUAAGGAAAAGCACAGUGGUUUUGGCAAUGUGACUGAUACAGCAAUUCUAAAACAACCAAGAUAAAAAAUUGGACCACAUAGGAUUUCAAGGUAAGUUGACAGUAAAAGCAGAUUCUCAAUUGAAGAAUGAAGAGUUCCUACUGGAGUGCUCACAUCAACAUUCCAGAGAAUAGGAAUUGUUUUCAGAUAGGAAACUAUAACUAAUUAGGAAUGGUGACUUGUCCGCACCUGGUUUGUUUUAUUUUUAAUUGGUCUUUAAUUUUUUUUUAAAUAUGGAAUUCUUUGGUCUAUGCAUUUGUACCUGGUGCCCUCAAGAGGCUAGAGGAAACAGUUGAAACUCUAGGGUCUAGACUACAGUUGUGAGCUGCCAUUCUGGUGCUGCGAUUCAAACCAGAGUUCCCAAGAGCCACUGAUACUCGUAACUGCUGAGCCAUCUCUGACUCCCGCCUGCUUUCCUAAGUGAGAGAAGACAAGCUGGCCUCCCUCCCACAGGUCAGUUCUAGGCAUGACUCUAGAGGGAGGGGCUAGCUCAGGGCAAGUUAAGUCCUCCCACAGGUCAGUUCUAGGCAUGACUCUAGAGGGAGGGGGCUAGCUCAGGGCAAGUUAAGUCCUCCCACAGGUCAGUUCUAGGCAUGACUCUAGAGGGAGGGGCUAGCUCAGGGCAAGUUAAGUCCUCCCACAGGUCAGUUCUAGGCAUGACUCUAGAGGGAGGGGGCUAGCUCAGGGCAAGUUAAGUCCUCCCACAGGUCAGUUCUAGGCAUGACUCUAGAGGGAGGGGGCUAGCUCAGGGCAAAUUAAGUUUUGACACCCGUUUCUAUUCCUCUAUCCUCAUGUGCUCCAUAAACUUGUUUACUUUCAAAAAUAAGAGGCUCACUGUUUUGCCCAACUCCUGGGCUCAAGUGAUUUCCUAUCUCAAUAGCUAGGACCAUGCCAUUACACCCUUUUCUGCCCAUGCACUCCUCAAAGACAAUGCCUCUUCAUAUUAUGCCAUUUAUUAAGAUGUCCUUUGCCUUGACAUGGGUAAUUUUUGGUUCUUGGUUUACUCCUUUGCUAAAGAACAUAUUACCUCAAGAAAUUGACACUGUUUUGAAUGACAGAAAACUAGCAUCAUAUGAAUUGAAGGCAUCUGUUUUUAACAUUAUGUGAAUGGAGGAGAGAAUCAUACAUGUAGUGCUCAUGUCGAAGUCAGAGAAUGACUUAGGGAAGUUGUUACACCACGUGGUUCUUUGGUAUUAAACCCAGCUCAUAAAGACUUCAGCAGUCAGUAGCUUUACCUACUGGAUCUCUCUGGCCCACAAGAGAGAUUGGCCCUCUGCCUGCCCAUUUUCUCAUUUUGUAGCUCAAACCCAGGGCCUUAUCCACAGGAAAUGUUCUACCACUGUGCAGUCUCCACACUGAGAUGAGGUCUCUGUAGCCUAGGCCAGCCUUUAAGUUGUGAACUUCCCUGCCUUUGUCUCAGAAGGACUGGGAUUACACCACACCUGGUCAGUUAAUCUCUUUGAAGGCAGAGUUAGAUGCCUCAAAUUUUAUUAACCUUUUAAUGUACUUUUGCCACUCAGUGAAAAAUUAAGUAGAAUAUAAUUCUCUUUAAGGCAUUCACAUGAUACAUGUUCCUUCCCAACAGAAUUUAGUGUAGUUUAGUGUUUUCCAGAAGAGCUAAGUUCAGAAGCUUUACGUUAAGAAAAUUACAUUGUAGAAUCAACCUACAAUCCACUUUUAGAAGUAUUCUCAUGUGGCCUCAAAUUUUUCAAUUUUUUUAAAAUAGGUUUUGUGUGUGAGUACCUCAUGUAUAUAUACAUCACAUGUCUGCCUGGUAGCUGCAGAGGCCAAAAGAACUUGUGAUCCACACAUUGAGGGUGCUGGGAUAUAAAACCAGGUUCUUUGCAAGAACAUCAAGUGCUCUUAACUGCUAACCAUUUCUUUAGCUCUCAAGACUUUUAGCUUUUGGUUCAGAACAUGUUCUAUCUUGUAAGACUUUAGUUUUGAUUGUGGUACUUUGCAGUAUAGUUCUAAAACUUUUCCAUCUUUGGGAGCUGAAGUAUAAUUCUGGUCAUUUCUAGGAUAGUUAGCAGUACGUAAAAAUAACUUGGAGGUUUUUACUUGUUGACUUUGUACAAAACCUACUAUGUACAGUGAAUCUAAGGCUAAGCUAAAUUUGGAGAUCUGGGCCACAAUCUCACAUUUGGCCUCUUACAAGGAGAAAAUGAGAAUUAGAAACUUGUCAGUUUGAAACAUGAAUACCAUUAGUCAUCCUAGAAACAAUACUAUCCUCUGUAGAUUUCACCCAUGUCAACUAAGUUUAAUUUCAGUAGUAGCUCUUAUGUCUUCCUACUUCCUGUCAACCCAAUCAGUUGUACCUAGCCUAGGUACCCAUAUUAUAUCCGGGAACAGUUUUGUAUUUUGAGACAGGAUUCCACUGGCCUUUAUUAGUCAUAAUGUAUCAUGCAGGCUCUGCCUCCCAAGUACUGAGAUUAAUGCAUGAUGUCUGGCCCAUGUAAUGUCUUAAAUCUUACCAUAUUUUUGUGACUUAACCUACCAACACUUUCUUCUAUUGGUAAUUUCUCUUUCUUCCUAUCCCCCUGUAUUUUCUUAUCUCAGGACUCUUCAUCCCCUUCUAAGUACUUGCUAGUAGCUAUCAGUGGUUUUUCAAGAUAAAGGGUGUGCAGCAGGAAAUGUGGUCUACAUUGUUGGAUGGUACAAUUCUUCCAUGGCAGUGUUAAUGUAUACCAUCAGUUGUACUGUCCCAUGAUGCAUUUAUAAUUUGGUGCUGAAUGGAGAAUUAAUGUUAAGGUUUUGGUUUUUAAUGUAUAUGGGAGUUUGGUUUUCUUCAUGAAAAUUUACUCUGUGUGUGCCUGAUACCCUUGGAGACAAAGAUUCCCUAGAACUGUAAAUAGAAAUUGAGGUGUAUGUUGUGAAUCAAACUGGGAUCCUGUGGAAGAACAGCCUAUACUCUAACUGUUGAGCCAUCUCCAACCCUGACUUUCAGAUUAACAAGCUCUUUAAAAUUGUAGUCAUUUGUUGUUGAGGAAAAACUUGAUACAGGACAUUGCUUUCAUUUAAAAUGUCUAAUAUUGCCUCAGAAUCAUAAUACAGACUCCUUAGUGUGAACAAGAAACGGAUUUAGUCUCUUAAAAAUCACUAGGGUUUAACCAUAUGUAAAUUUUUGAAAUAAUGCUGGAAAGAGCUCAACAGUUAAAGAACACAGGCUGCUCUUGCGGAAAAAAACAAAGUCUGGGUCUCAGUGCCCACACACAACUCACUACUGACUGCAACUCCAGUUCCACUGGACCUAAUGCCCUUUUCUAGCAUCCUUGGGCACCAGGUACACUGGUGAUGCACAGACACAUUGGGAAAAAAAACUAACACUUUUAAACUGUUUCAAGCCUAACUCUCCAGUGAUAAGCAUAACAAUGUUCAUUCCAUUCUUAGCUAUACUGUAGUACCACUUCUAUAAAUUAUUCCUUUAAAAUUCUCCAAUACUUUUUGAUAUGCUUGGUUCAGUGUUAACAUUUAUCUUAGUUAAAGACAAAACCAGGUUUCACACUGUACUUUUGGAGUUGCUCAAUUUUAUUCACAAACCAGAGUACCCUUUAGUGCUAUAAUCAAAGAAAUCACAUGAAAAAAGCCUUCCAUCUCCCACGGAAAAAAAAUCACAAGUUUUAAUACUGUAUAUGUAUCUUCUAUAAAUGGAAUAAUAUCAUAUCUGGGAGUAUGGCUCAUAACUGGCACUGCACUCAUGUUUUAAAACACACAUUAAACAUAAGGGUCACAUUCUAAGGUCACUCAAGAAAUACAAACCAAGAUUGUUCAUCAUUCAGUUUAUUACAUGUAUGAAUAUUAACAUCUCAUGUUACCCAUCUAAUUCAAUCAAAACCAACAAAGAAAAAAAGUUAACCAUGUUUUUCAUAUGAACAUUCUUAUACAGAAUCCCUGUAACUUAAAAUAGAAAUGUGUUCAUCUGCAUUAAAUUGACAAUUUUAAAAAUAUUUUCUAAAAAGUAAAAUCACUUUUAGUACUUAAAUAUAUUUGUUAGUUGCUUGAUGGCAUCAGUGUCCAAGUUUAAAUAAGCAUUACUGUUUCAUUACAUACUUUCCAAAAGUGGACAUUGUGGAUGACUCUAGCUGGAGAUACAUAUCUAUAUGUAAGCACAUAUGUCCUUUUUGUUUUUUUAAUCUUGCUUUUCUAUUUGAGAAAAACUAAGUUUGAAACUUUGCUGCAUUAAGUCCCAGGAAGCUACUAGAAAAAAAACCAUCAUGUUAAGAUUGCUGUUCAGUUCCAUUCUUGCCCAAUAAAAGUAUAGAAACACUGUCUUUAUUUGAUGGUGUGCAUAAAUAUUACACUCCAUGGAUAGCAAAAAUAUUUUUUAUUUAUAAUUUACAGUUCACAAGUGAAAAUUGUACAUUUGUACACAUACAAUUUCAUUUUGUUACAUUUGCACUCAUCUACAGAACUUUCACACAACAAGCACCUGAAACUGUGCAGGCAGUAGGAAAUGCAAAUACUAAAAUGUAUUUAUUAACCAAAUGAUAGCUGAAGGCCCUGCCACAGCUAGACAAUUAAUAUAGAUAUUUCUAUAUAUACAUAAAAAAAUUCUUCACCUAGAUCCAACAGCAGCUUUUGUUUAAAAAGAAAAGCAUACUUUUCUCAUUUUAUUUAAACUGACUCAACUGUAUCACUUUCUGUUUUAAUUUCAGUGGGUGUUGCUACACUUUCUUCUGAACAAGCUGGUGGGGCAUCAAUUUGUUCUUCCUUAACUUUGGGACUUUCACAGGGUUCUUGCAAUUCGUUUUUGACAAUGUUCAACAUAAUGUUCAAAGGGUUUUCAACUGGUGUCUUGCUGGGAGAUGGUGUGCAAUCAAAUGAAGAUGUCUACAAAAUGAAAAUCCCUAUAAGUACUAAUGAAGUUUCAAAUCAUAUUAAGUAACAAUUAUGUUUAAGAGUUCAAACAAAGGACUACCACAUCCAAUUACAAUGCUUGCUUCUCGCAAGCUAAUAACACUGUUCAGUAUGUACUCGGCCAGAAAGCACAUUAACUUUGAUACCACUAAAAGAAGUCAGAGAGGCGUCAGUAGUUAUAAAACAGCGGGCAAUCCUUUCUUAACUUUGUGAGUCUUGUUAUGUGAAUGUUAGUCUUUUGAGAUUUCUUAAAAUCUCUGCAUCAGAAAUACUCUAGGAAACACUAGUCUUCCAGUUACCUAAAUAUGUAUUAAAAUCUGUAUCAAAGCAGUGUCAUGAGUAGUCAACAUGUUCCACUGGUUUAGAAAAGUCAAGGUAGAGAUAUAAUUGGAUUCCUAGGGCUACUAGACUGCCAUGUUGCCAAUUUUAUAUAAGUCAUCAUUUAAAGUAUAUUAUGAGAGCUGGAAAGAUGGCUCAGUGGAUAAAAUGAAAGCUGACCAUGCAAAUGUAAGGGCCUGAGUUCAAAUCUCUAGAACACACAAAAUUUGGAUACAUAAGAGAAUCCCUGGGAACGUGUAGAACAGCUAGCCUGGUACAAUCACAAAAGAAAAGAGACUCAUGAAAGGUUAAGGACUAACACCCAAGGUUGUCUUCUGACUUCCGCAUGUGUUUUGUGGUACAUAUUCAACUUGCAUUCACAUACAUUAAAGUACAGACACAAAUUUUUAUUUAUUUACAGUGUUGCUAUGUGGUCCUGGCUAUUCUGGAACUAUGUGGACCAGGCUGGUCUCAAAUUCUAAAGAUCCUCCUGCAUCUCAAGUGCUGUCAUUAAAAGGUAUGUGCCACCAAUGCCUAGCCUAACAAUUUUCAAAAUAUCAUUCCUCUACUAAGUAACUAGACAAUACAUAAGAAAAAAAUUAGUUCUUUCCAGACCCCUAAAAAUUUUUGCCCAUCAUAAUCCUUUAGUUUUCUACUUUUCUCUGCCUAGUGGUCCAAUAAAAGUUAAAAAGAUUCAAGUAAACAAAGCAAGAAAUACAAAAACAUUACUACGAAUUUUAAUUUGUAUUUUAUCAGUGAUAAAUCAAGUACAUCAGAGCCUAUCUAAUGCCAAUAUUUAAUAAGCAACCUACUAACUUUUAAAAAAAAAAUUAAAGUAAAAACAUACAAUACCCAAAAAGAACUUACAUUUUGAUAAUCUUCAUAACAUGAUGGAUGGUAAAUCUGAAGAGGGAAAAAAAUAGCUAUUACAUGCAUGUUCAUUUGUAAUAUAUUAUUCUGAUUUCUUUAAUUUUUAAAUCAAAGGAUAAAAUUUAUUUGGUCCAAAAAAUUAGUAAAAUCUAAACAUUUAACCAUACCUAUUUCUUUUAAACUUGGCUUUGUACACUUAUAACGCCUAGCUUUAUUUUCAAGCGAAUAACAAACAGUUCUGAUCGUUAAAUAUCGUGUAGUUAGAAGAAAAUCUAGUUGAGUCUAGCAUCAGUCUCAUAUGGUUGCUAGAAUCCCUCCAAAGGAAACAUUGACUAUUUAAAGUCCAGAAUUUUUUUUAAAAACCAAACCCAGAGAGGAUUAUGAAUCAUCUUUAAAAGGGUGAGUUACUCCAAACAUGAUCAUUAACCCUUUCUUACCUUUCCGUCUACUCUAAUAGCAUUUUUUAAGUGCCAUUCUUCCUCCUCUUCAUCCCAGUACUGUUCAAAUUGUUCUUGACAGAUUUCACAACUCUAAAAUAGAAUCAUAAAAUGAAAUUUACAUUGUUCAUUAAGAUAAAACCCUUUUCAAUAAAAAUAUAAAUUUUUAAGGAAUGUUCAAUAAAUAGUUUUAUGGAUUGUUCCAGCCUUUUACAAAAAGGUUAAUAGCAUUUCACUAUAUUAGUCACUGAUGGCAUCCAACCCAAAUUGGUCAUGAAACAGCCAAGAUUUUGUUUUGUUAUUUUAAAAAGCUUACAAGAAAUCCUUUUAUAUUUGCUUACAAUAUUGUCUCAUGUACCCUAGGCUGGCAUCCAACUCUAUACGCGGGGCCUGGUCUUGAACCCUGAUCCACUGUGCCAGGGAUAAAGCAUAAGUGUUUAUGACUUAAAAGGACUUUAACACUGCCAAAGACAGGGAAUUGAAACACCUUUCUGUUACCUCAACUGCUCCAGCUGGUCCAGCAGGGUCUUAUUAUGUAGCCCAGCCGUCAAUCAUGUAGCCACGCUUGGCCUACUGGCAGUCUUCUGGCAGUAUUCCUUGUGCCUUAGCCUUCCACGUACUAAGAUUACAAGCCACCAAAUCAGGCAGUGACUGAGAGAUCUUAAUGCUAACUUCCUAUAAACUCUAAGAUACCAUUAACUUAAGAUAAUUCACAAUUUUUCAUUUUUAUUUAAUUUUGGAACUGGAGAGAUGGCUUAGCAGUUAAGAGCAUUUAUUGCUCUUGUGGGACCAUGGGUCAGUUCCACUAACAUGGUAGCUCACAACCAUCUGUUAACUCCAGUUCCAAGGGAUCCAACACCCUCUUUUGGCCUCCUCAAGCACUAUAUACAUAAGUGCAUUCUACUUUAAAGAAUAGCUAAAAGUUCCAACAAAUACUAAACAAAAAUUAGAAAUUUACAUAUUUUUAAAAGAGCUAUGAGUACAGGUGCUCCAAGGAAGCUAGAAGUGUCAGAUCUCAUAAAGCUUGAAGUGAAGGAAAGAUGCUCAUACACAAAAUAACCAUAAAUCUAAAAACCAAAAAAAAUCUAUUUUCCAUGGAUCAAGUUUUAUUCAGAAAGUUCAUAACUUCCAGCAACUACUUAAACAUAUACUUCAGAGUAUAAAUGACAUCUAGAUAACUCAGAGGCAUAUGGAUUACUUACUGUUAGACUGUAGUACCAACGUCUAUGAGUGACUUUUCUGCUAACAUCUUUCUCGGUUCUGUUUUGCCGAUAAUGCCAAUCCAAGUGAUCUGCAUAAACAUCUGUCUGGGAUGUCGUGAACCUCAUUCCACACGAGUAACAUUGAAUCCCAGUGUACAGCCGGUUUAUAACACUGUCAUAACGUCUAUUUUGAGGGAAAAAAAGUUUUAAGACAUGACAGUGGCUAAAAACAAAAUACUUAAGUUUUCUAUAUCUUAACAGGAAUCAAAGCAGAAUGAUCUAUGUAAAAUUUACUGUCUUACUGAUCCUUUUUACUUUAGCUUUGGUUAAGUGUGAAACAUGGAGCCUAUUUUCUUAUUUACAAAUUUGCCUUGGUUACUUAUUCCCUUUUGGCUAAAAAUGGAGUAACACUAUAGGCUAACAAGGCAACAGCAAUUCAACUCCUUAGUAUGAAGUUACUAUCAAUAUAGAGAAGACAUGAUUAGUAGAAAGAUAGGGCAAGAGAUCUCACCUCCCUACAAUAUUAAUGUUUUGAAUAAAUCAAAUGUCCUAUUCCAGUUUAAAGAACAGUUAAAAGUAGAGCAUGAUGGCUCACACUUGUAAACCCAGUAUUCAAGAUUCAGCUCAGGCUAACAAGACAUCUCAAGAAAGAAAGAAUAAAAUAAAAAUAAAAAAUAAAUAUAAAAAAUAUGAAAUAAAGCCAUGAAUAACUAUUAGUGCGUAACAUUUAAACUUGAGCAGCAGAUCAAAGGUAGGAUUCAAGCCACUGUUAUCUGAAUGAUUGUCAUAGAUAAAAAGUACUUGUCACAAAAGCUCCAUGGUAUGAGUUCAACCCCCAGAAACCACAAUGGAAGGAGAGAACCAACUCCCAAAACUUGCCCUCUAGCCUACACAAACACAGUAACAUGCAUGCAUGCACCUCCACUCACACACAAAAGGACAGAACAAUGUACAUUAAUGAUUAAAAUGUAAAACAUCACAUACUGCUUCAAUUCUUCAAUGGUGAAAUUGGUAAGAUCUGGAACAUCCUGAUCUUCAUUCUGAUCCUCGUCCUCCUCAGGGGGAGGCUGAGCAACAGCCUCGGUUACCUCUGCAGUGGACAAGAGUCAUUUUUCAGUACUGUAGUCUACUCUGUUCUUUAUAGUAAGACACUGGUUACAAGCAUACAGAAUCUAGUAUGUUAAGUAUGUUUAAGGAACCUUAAAAAAUUUUAAAAUCUUGUUUCCUUAACAUUCAAAUUAUUUUCAAACACCAAAUUAAUAGAUGAGCUAGUAAAAAUCAGUACAUGAUAUUUGUAGUAAUGUUAUUUAAAACAGUGGGCCAGGAGGAUAGUUCAAUCUUUUGAAAUUUUUAACAUUCUCACUAUAAAAAAAUCACACUUGUUUUUCAAAAGACACCAAAAAGUAUACUAAUUUAUUCAAGAGUAGAACUUUACAAUAAUUUAUUAUACCUCAUAAUAAUAGUAUCUCUGACUUAAUUAAGCUUGGUGUAUAUAAAUAUACAGCCAUACUCACGUGCUGUAGCUGAAUCAGGCUGUGACAAUUUGAGAAUUCCUGUUUUUAGCAGUUUUGAAAACAAUUCGUUUACAUCCACCUGACUGAGAUGAUUAUCAGGAUAUGCCUUGGGAAGACCGCCUUAUUUAAAAAAAAAAAAGAAAUUCUUAAUAGAACAUAAAGAUUCAUAUCAUAGUAUUUCUUCAAAGUUACAACUUUCUUCAAGAUAUUCCACCAACAACAAACCUUUUUAUGACAGGUUUAAUUAUUUUAAAAGCUCAGGUUUUCUUUUUGGCUGACAAAUCAUUACUUGAAAAAUAUUCCAGGAUAAAUACUAAAGUACUUAGAGUAUUUUACAAUAAAAAUGUGUGUGUGUGUAUAUAUACACACACAUACAUAUAUAUGUGCAUAUAUUUUAAAAAGUUACUUAAGCUAAAAUUAUUUAAAUUUUAAAUUAUCAAAUUUAUUAAAUUAAUUUAACUUAUUAAGUAUUUAAUAUAUUUAAUUUUUAUAUAUUUACAUUUUUAAAGGUGGUAUUACUUUGUCACUUUAUCACUUUAUUUUCAUACCAAAUAAAAGCAGGAUUCAAAGAA